AGCCAAAAUUUCUUAAAUUAAUUAAAAAUCAGCCAGACAUUUUUUUAACUUUUAAACUGCAGAAGAUGAAGGUCAGUGUAUGGAGCAAGUUCAAAAGGAUCCUCUCAUGGCUCUGGCCUGGAGCAAUAGCCAAGCCUCACAAAUAGAGAAGGAUGGGCCGGUUGAGCCUGAGGCUGCUGUACUACUGAUCACAAACAGAAGCAGGUUCCUGAUACUGAACUUGAGGCUGAUGGUCAUGAACCUAUGGAUCCCAAAUUGGGAUCCUCACAGAUGUCUCCCACUGAGCUUGGUUCACCUGAUGAGUUAAGCACCUCUCACUGCCCAACACCUGCCCAACAGUGUAGAACAGAGUAUUCCAGCAGGAGCCCAGGGCAGCAAGGUAUGUAGAGCCAAGGACAGCGGAUCUGGAUGGUGGCCUCAGCCUUGACUGUGUAGCUGGUCAUGGAUGUGGAAGAAGCUGCAUUGCUGAAAAUGUUACUUCUGAGGUCCUGGACUUCAACAUCCACCUACAUCAGGCUGCUGUGAGACUUCUUCUGGCUUCUUCUGAAUUUGAAGACAUGUAUAAUAGGGUGGCUUAAGUCAGAUUGCAAUCUAAAAUCCAUACCAGCACAAAACAGGAAAUAUAGCAAUUAAAACUAAUCUGCUGCCUUCUUAGCCCCAGGCAUUAAAUGCCAGUCCCUCUGCCCCCGAAAAAUCUGAAGUAGGAAGUUAAUGAAGCACAGUAACUCCUCAAAUACACUGAGAUCUCUAUAUAAUCAGCCCCAUGAUUGAGAACUGUGGGUAUAUUAUGAUGUGUAAAUUUUACAUGUGGGGUUGUUUUGCUACCCAUGGACAUUAAAUAAGUUGGAAGCAGUCCUCAGGCUCUCUCAGAUUUUGCAAAAAGAACUUCACAAUUUUGAAGCAACUACAAAAUGUGACUCUUUGUAUUCUUUUACUAUGUGCUUUUGCAGAGCUUGGAAAAGUUACAUUUUUGAACUACAACUCCCAUCAGCCCCAGCCAGCAUGGCCAUUGGAUUGGUCUGAUGGGAGUUGUAGUUCAAAAAAGUAACUUUUCCAAGCUCUGGCUUUUGGUGCCUUUGUAAAUGGUCCAUGACUGGGGUUGGGGUGGUGGUGGUACAGCCAUAAUCUGCACCACUCAGAUAAUGUAACCUUAGGAAGCAUUUUGAUCAUGGGACAAUUGCUCAGAUUGUUGUCCCAUUUACCAGCAAAAUCAGUUUCUGGACUGUAACUCAGUAUCUGACCCUUCAGGAGCAAAGAAACUCCUGAGAAAAACUAAGAGGCUUUUUCAGAUUUUUUGAGUGUGAUACAUGCUCAGUUGUAGCCCAUUUGUUGCAGACAGUCUAUUUCAGUUGCACUUUUGUCAUCAUAGGGAAAUCACAUUUCUCUCCAUGCUGGAUGUUCUGUAUUAAAUGUUUACAGUUAUUAUUGGAGGAAUUUAGCCCCCCCCCCAAUUACUGUAUUCAUGGUUACUUCGAUCACAAUGUGAAACAUGGGUGGGUGUCACUGACACCUCUUGGCAAUUGUGAUUUCAUUGUGACACAGUUUCCCCCCAUGACUAUGCUGUUUUGUGAAGUUUAAUUUUGUAAUUGAUUUCCUUCUUUAGAUUGCCCCCAGCACAUGCCCUUGAUAGUUGUGAGCUCCCCUAUUGUGCUCCUGCAGUGUUGGACUGGUCAGUUCAUCAAACAGCAAGGCUAAUUGUUUCAAAAUUUUACCUUUAUAUCUGCCCCGUAUAAAACAUAUAAAAUAUAACCUACCAACCCCUUGCAGCAUGGCUCUCACCAUUAUGUGAGGAUACCUUACUGCUGGCAUUGGAUUGCUGGUUAGGAAUGAGUGUAACAAGAGUAGAAUCCUUUUUUAAAAAAAUCGUACUGAAAGGCUCAGAAAAGCGCCCCUCCACCAUUUCCUGCACUUUCCUUUUCCUCUCUGAAACCCCUUUUUGUAUUGACUUAUGACAGGGGUUGCCUACAAUUCUCCACAAUACAAAAAACAAUCUCUCUCACUCUCUGAACUGCUUUUCACAUUUCAAAAUUGUCAUGAGUCUAAAUGCAUGAGAAAUCGUUAAGUCACACUGGAAUUGACAAAAUAUUUCCCGCAUGAAAGGUGCCUCCAUGUAGGAAAUAAUGUGACUUCUGUGCAUAGAUGGCUAUGUGAUGUCUGCGUGUGAUGGUGUUUAUAUGUCAGUUGUCGGUUCUUUGUUUGGUGUAUGUUUUGCCUGAUUUUUUAUUUGUUUGCAAAUAAACAAAUAAGAAGGGGCAGGGGUGUGUCCCUGAUGUUUUUUGGUCUGUUUGUCAGGGGAUGUGCCUUGCUGUGGUUUUGAGGUAUGUAUAGGUGUUUUGCCUAUUCUUUGGAGGGGAGGGAGCUCUGAGCAUUGCCAGUCCCCCCCCUUAUGAAAUAGUGUCCAGAACAGUUUCUUAGAUUUCCAAAUAUGCCCUCAGGCCCAAAGAGGUUGGGUUUGUAGGUUUUCCCCACAGUUGCAAUCAAGGGAGGUAAAAGGAAGACUCACAAAGCUGCUGCUUCAAAGGGUAGACAGCACUGGGCUGGAAGGGCCAAUGGUCUGUCUCAGUAUUCAAGUCUAAAGGCAGACAAGAAGAGGAGCUGCGCGAGAACAACUUGGGCAUCUCUUUUCUUGUCUGUUCAGUGGGACAUGUGCAGGAGGACUUUCCCAGUGCCCAUGAGUCAGAUCUGUUGGCUGCCUGUCACUCAUUCUGAUCUUCUCAGUGGCACCCCAAAAUUCUGCUACCUGAGGCAGCCCCUAGCUGUUUGCAGUAAGGCUGCCUCUCAGCUGAGAUUCUUCUUGGAUUUCAAAAGCGGUUGCUGGCAAAGCAGUUAGUGGUAUGUAGAAAGGUGCUGAGAUAUAAACAGUCAUCAGCACAAUCAGUAUUAGCUGUCCUGUCCGUAAGCCAGGUGAGAACGUCAGCUCCCUCUCCCUGCUCAUAGCCCAAUGUGCGUGUGUAUGAAAUCUAUCCGUCAGAGUGUGCUUCACAAGUGCAAAAGAGGGAGGGAAGGGAGCAUAUCUUAUUGCCAUCUCUGCCAAUGAGAAAGGAGUCCAUUACUAGACUGUUUGCAUGCCUGAGUUACUGACUGAGUCAAUUUACAGUGUUGUAGAAGUGCAGCAGGAGAUUUUAAUGCCAACUCUCUCUCUCUCAAUCUCGCCCUUCCCUCUACCUCCCCCCCUGCACUGCUUUACUGCUUCUUUGAUUUUU